UACGAAGGGGGCUAGCGUUGUUCGGAUUUACUGGGCGUAAAGCGCACGUAGGCGGCUUUGUAAGUUAGAGGUGAAAGCCCGGGGCUCAGCUCCGGAAUUGCCUUUAAGACUGCAUCGCUAGAAUUGUGGAGAGGUAAGUGGAAUUCCGAGUGUAGAGGUGAAAUUCGUAGAUAUUCGGAAGAACACCAGUGGCGAAGGCGACUCACUGGACACGUAUUGACGCUGAGGAGCGAAAGCGUGGGGAGCGAACAGG
rnacentral:rRNA from 1 species